GUUUUGAUUGCCUUACUGGUUUCCUUCUCAGAAUAACAACAAUGACCAUGCAGCUAUGUCGGGAAAAGUGGCCCAGACAGCUUGCAUGUCAGCUUGCCAGCAUCUUUCAACGUCCCUGAUGCAGAUGCUACUGGACAGUGAAUUAAAACAAAUAAGCAUGGGAGCAAUUCAGCAGUUUAAUUUAGAUGUGAUACAGUGUGAAUUGUUUGCUAGUUCUGAGCCUGUGCCAGGAUUCCAGGGAGACACCCUGCAGUUAGCUUUCAUCGACCUCAGACAA